rnacentral:misc_RNA from 1 species
GAUGAAGAACGUAGCGAAAUGCGAUAAGUAAUGUGAAUUGCAGAAUCCAGUGAAUCAUCGAAUCUUUGAACGCACAUUGCGCCCGCCAGCAUUCUGGUGGGCAUGCCUGUUCGAGCGUCAUUUCAACCCUCGACCUCCCUUUGGGGAAGUCGGCGUUGGGGACCGGCAGCACACCGCCGGCCCUGAAAUGGAGUGGCGGCCCGUCCGCGGCGACCUCUGCGUAGUAAUCCAACUCGCACCGGAACCCCGACGCGGCCACGCCGUAAAACACCCAACUUCUGAACGUUGACCUCGAAUCAGGUAGGACUACCCGCUGAACUUAAGCAUAUCAAUAAGCGGAGGA